CACUCGGCGCAUGGGCCGCGCUACACGGCCGCUCAGGGAGCUGAGGGUAUAGCGUUUUCGCCUUAGACUUUCUUGGGUGCAGGCCCACACCACCUCAGCAGCCUGCCCGGCAGUCCUCUUUUCCCAGGUUUUGGCGUUUAGACAACCCACCUGAGUCCUCAGCCUUGUCCCACACAGCAAGGUACAAGGGACCGGACGUCUGCCUCCUCAGCAGCGCAGCGCACAAGCUUCCUGUCAUCCCGGCGCCCACGAUCAGCACCUGCGCCAUGGCGAGAGGGAGCAGCGAUCCGCGCUGAGUCUCUGCGGCGGGGCCGUUCGGCCCGGGCUUUCUGGAAAGGCGGCCGAACCGGCGCUAGCGCUCUUUGGUUCCGUGCUCCCUGGGCCGACCUGGGCCCUGAGCUUUCCUCCGGCCGGCCUGCAGGGGGCGGAAAGGAGGCGGCCGGAGCUGAGAGGCCCCUCCGUCCUUGAGGAGCAAACCUGGGGCUGCGGAGAACCGGGGCUGUCUGUCUUCUCGCUUUGGGGGCCGGGCGCCCUGCCCCUCGCCCAGAAAAGCCUGGAAAUGGUGUGGGCUAUUGUUGGGAGAACCCGCCUCGCAACAGAGCUGACGUUGACCACAGCAGAGAAGCAGCUUAACCUAUCUACUGCGAUAACUCUCAUGCCUGUUGGGAUUUUUGCUGUUUUACUAUUCUAGAUUUGAAAGUGGGAAGAAGAAUUUACCAGCGAUACCACGGGCAACCUUUCCUCUAAUGCUUGAACGGCCACUAUUAGCAUAAUAGAAACAUCUUUUGGAAUCUGGGAGACAUUUUUCUUAGACCUGGGACUUUGUGUAACCUUCCUGAACCUCAAUUUCUCCAUCUGGGAAAUGGAAACAAUAACGUAUACCUUUCAAACUUGUAAAGAUUAAAGACAGUUGAUUCAUCAGAAAAUUCCAAAUUACUCUUCAAUAAGUUCUAUGUCAGAACGCAUUCCGUAUGUUCUAAGGAAUAUAAAGAUGAACAACAAGAGAAGGAUUGGUGCCAUUGCCGUUGUUUUUUUCCCCCUCCUGACAUUGUACUGGAAGUUCUCAAUGAAACAACAAAGGCAAUGGUAAUACUGAACUAUUAAAAAACAAAUAAUUAAGUUACGCUGACUUGCAGAUAAAUUAUUACCUGGAAAACUAAGAAACCGAAUAAGUAUCAGAACCAAUAAGAAAAUUGACAAUGGUAGCCAAUUAUAAUGGAAACAUUUAAAAAUCAGAAUAUUUACUUCAUGUCCACAUCAUGAAAAAAAUUACCAUGUAUCAAAUGGGUGACGAAUUAAUACUAGAUAUAUCUAAUAAAAGAACUAGAAGAAAAUGUAGACGGGCAUAUAUGACUAAGAAGACAUUUUUAAGCAUAAAAAUGAAAGAUGGAAUUGAACAGAAAAUACAUAAUCAUUUACAACUUGUGUGUUACAAAAUACACAAAACAAAAUACAAAUAGUAAAUUUCUGAAAGGUGUAUGAAAGAUUAAAGUUAAUAUUAUUUAAAAACAUUAUUCAAAGUCUUAAAGACACAAAUGACAAAAGCCAAAAGGAAAAUGUGUAUAUAUUGGAUAGAGUUCUUGAAUAAAAAGAAAUACGUAAGUCCAA
rnacentral:lncRNA from 1 species